AGUAUCGUAGCCAAUGAGGUUAAUCCGAGGCACGAUUACUGCUAAUUGAAAACUUUUCCCAAU
rnacentral:snRNA from 1 species